rnacentral:rRNA from 1 species
AGAGUUUGAUCAUGGCUCAGGAUGAACGCUGGCGGUAUGCCUAACACAUGCAAGUCGAACGAUGUCUUCGGACAUAGUGGCGGACGGGUGAGUAACGCGUGAGAAUCUGCCUCUAGGAUGGGGAUAACGGUUGGAAACGACCGCUAACACCCAAUAUGCCGUAAGGUGAAAAAUUUAUUGCCUGGAGAGGAGCUCGCGUCUGAUUAGCUAGUUGGUGGGGUAAGAGCUCACCAAGGCUUCGAUCAGUAGCUGGUCUGAGAGGAUGAGCAGCCACACUGGGACUGAGACACGGCCCAGACUCCUACGGGAGGCAGCAGUGGGGAAUUUUCCGCAAUGGGCGAAAGCCUGACGGAGCAAUACCGCGUGAGGGAGGAAUGCCUUUGGGUUGUAAACCUCUUUUCUCAGGGAAGAAGAUCUGACGGUACCUGAGGAAUAAGUAUCGGCUAACUCCGUGCCAGCAGCCGCGGUAAUACGGAGGAUGCAAGCGUUAUCCGGAAUCAUUGGGCGUAAAGCGUCCGCAGGUGGUUUCCAAAGUCUGCUGUUAAAGACUGGAGCUCAACUCCGGAACGGCGGUGGAAACUUGGAAACUAGAGUUCGGUAGGGGUAGCAGGAAUUCCCAGUGUAGCGGUGAAAUGCGUAGAUAUUGGGAAGAACAUCGGUGGCGAAGGCGUGCUACUGGACCGUAACUGACACUCAGGGACGAAAGCUAGGGGAGCGAAAGGGAUUAGAUACCCCUGUAGUCCUAGCUGUAAACGAUGGAAACUAGGUGUGGCUUGUAUCGACCCGAGCCGUGCCGUANCUAACGCGUUAAGUUUCCCGCCUGGGGAGUACGCACGCAAGUGUGAAACUCAAAGGAAUUGA